AGUGCACAGAUUGGGAUAUUCGGGCGGUUUACAGGAUCCGGUCUCUAUGAUGGUCAGACAAGCUCAAACGUUCAGAAUCUCUUCAAAUCCAAUGUGCUGUCAAUAUUAUUCCCCAAGAGAGCACUGGAGAUUGAUUUCUUUUCAGACAGUCAACUUGGAUCAUCAAUGAUUGAAGUGCACUGCGACCUCACCGCUCCAGCAGACUACAUAUCGGAGAUCGGUGGCAAUAACACGGAGGAAAAUCUGCGCGAACGUUUCACAGAUGCUCUACAAACUGUCAAU